UGAUUUCCAGUAAGUUGUCUUUAUUUCAGACAGAAAGUUAAAGCAAUUGCUUGCUUGUAUGGCUGACGUUGUCUUAGAAUCUUCAUAAAAGAAGUUUUGAGCAUCAUUUGGACCAGCAGAAUUGUUUGUGCCCACUGCAGAUUUAAGUAUCAUAUGCAGCUGCAUAGUAUUAUUGUUGUAAGGCUGGCCAUCUAUUUUGCGUGUGCUUAUAUUCUUUUCUUUUUUUCCACUUA